rnacentral:rRNA from 1 species
UACGUAGGGUCCGAGCGUUGUCCGGAAUUACUGGGCGUAAAGGGCUCGUAGGCGGUCCGUCACGUCGGGAGUGAAAACUCGGGGCUCAACCCCGAGCCUGCUUCCGAUACGGGCGGACUAGAGGUAGGUAGGGGGAGAACGGAAUUCCUGGUGUAGCGGUGAAAUGCGCAGAUAUCAGGAGGAACACCGGUGGCGAAGGCGGUUCUCUGGGCAUUACCUGACGCUGAGGAGCGAAAGUGUGGGGAGCGAACAGG